GCCGGAAUGGCGGAAUUGGCAGACGCGCUAGCUUCAGGUGCUAGUGCCCCUCGGGGCGUGCAGGUUCAACCCCUGUUUCCGGCACCA
rnacentral:tRNA from 1 species